GGGGGAAGGCAUAGCUGUAGAGUGCGUGCCUAGGAUGCACAAAGUCCUGGGUUCAAUUCCCAGUUCCUCCA
rnacentral:tRNA from 1 species